rnacentral:ncRNA from 1 species
AGCCCGACUAUUGUACCCGGGCAAAGGUACAUACCUCCCUGUUGGACUGGCCGGGCCACUGUGCCCGGCCUUUUUU